rnacentral:rRNA from 1 species
UUGCGAACGGGUGAGUAACGCGUAGGUAACCUGCCUUGUAGCGGGGGAUAACUAUUGGAAACGAUAGCUAAUACCGCAUAACAAUGGGUGACUCAUGUCAUUUAUUUGAAAGGGGCAAAUGCUCCACUACAAGAUGGACCUGCGUUGUAUUAGCUAGUAGGUGAGGUAACGGCUCACCUAGGCGACGAUACAUAGCCGACCUGAGAGGGUGAUCGGCCACACUGGGACUGAGACACGGCCCAGACUCCUACGGGAGGCAGCAGUAGGGAAUCUUCGGCAAUGGGGGCAACCCUGACCGAGCAACGCCGCGUGAGUGAAGAAGGUUUUCGGAUCGUAAAGCUCUGUUGUAAGUCAAGAACGAGUGUGAGAGUGGAAAGUUCACACUGUGACGGUAGCUUACCAGAAAGGGACGGCUAACUACGUGCCAGCAGCCGCGGUAAUACGUAGGUCCCGAGCGUUGUCCGGAUUUAUUGGGCGUAAAGCGAGCGCAGGCGGUUUGAUAAGUCUGAAGUUAAAGGCUGUGGCUCAACCAUAGUUCGCUUUGGAAACUGUCAAACUUGAGUGCAGAAGGGGAGAGUGGAAUUCCAUGUGUAGCGGUGAAAUGCGUAGAUAUAUGGAGGAACACCGGUGGCGAAAGCGGCUCUCUGGUCUGUAACUGACGCUGAGGCUCGAAAGCGUGGGGAGCGAACAGGAUUAGAUACCCUGGUAGUCCACGCCGUAAACGAUGAGUGCUAGGUGUUGGAUCCUUUCCGGGAUUCAGUGCCGUAGCUAACGCAUUAAGCACUCCGCCUGGGGAGUACGACCGCAAGGUUGAAACUCAAAGGAAUUGACGGGGGCCCGCACAAGCGGUGGAGCAUGUGGU